UACGUAGGGUCCGAGCGUUGUCCGGAAUUAUUGGGCGUAAAGGGCUCGUAGGCGGUUUGUCACGUCGGGAGUGAAAUCUUACAGCUUAACUGUGAACUUGCUUUCGAUACGGGCAGGCUAGAGUUCGGUAGGGGAGACUGGAAUUCCUGGUGUAGCGGUGAAAUGCGUAGAUAUCAAGUGGAACACCAGUGGCGAAGGCGAGUCUCUGGACAUUUCCUGACGCUGAGGCACGAAAGCCAGGGGAGCAAACGGG
rnacentral:rRNA from 1 species